rnacentral:rRNA from 1 species
CAAUCGAACCCGGAGAUAGCUGGUUCUCCUCGAAAUAGCUUUAGGGCUAGCCUCGCAUUAGUUUACCGGAGGUAGAGCACUGAAUGGUCUAGGGGGCCUCACCGCCUACCGAAACCUAUCAAACUGCGAAUGCCGGAUAAAUGAUGUGCGGGAGUCAGGCCGCGAGAGAUAAGUUCCGCGGUCAAAAGGGGAACACCCCAGAUCGUCUGCUAAGGUCCCCAAGUACGCGUUAAGUGGGAAAGGAUGUUGGAUUGCACAGACAACCAGGAUGUUGGCUUAGAAGCAGCCACACAUUCAAAGAGUGCGUAAUAGCUCACUGGUCGAGUGAUCCAGCGCCGAAAAUGUAACGGGGCUAAAACGCGACACCGAAGCAGCGGGAUGCGUAAGCAUCGGUAGAGGAGCAUUGUGUGAGGAUAGAAGCCAGAGCGGGAGCACUGGUGGACUUCACAGAAGAGAGAAUGCCGGUAUGAGUAGCGAGACCCAUGCGAGAAACAUGGGCGUCGAAGGCCCAAGGUUUCCUGGGGAAGGUUCAUCCACCCAGGGUAAGUCGGGACCUAAGCCGAGGACUGAGGUCGUAGGCGAUGGACAGCAGGUAGAGAUUCCUGCACCACUUACACUUGUUUGACGAAGCAGUGACACAGAAGGAUAGGACGAGCGCGGUGAUGGUCAACCGCGUAGGCGGCACGAGGCUGGGGAGCAGUAAAGUACACUUCCCGUGAAGGCUGAGUGCUGACAGGACCGAAAAAGAGUAGGGAAGCGUCUGAGUUCACGCUGGCGAGAAAAGCUGCUAAGGAGAGUGUGAGUGCCCGUACCGGAAACCGACGCAGGUGGGCGAGGAGAGAAUCCUGAGACGGACGGGAGAACUCUUGUUAAGGAACUCGGCAAAAUGACCCCGUAACUUCGGGAGAAGGGGUGCCUCGAAAGAGGCCGCAGAGAAUAGUCACAAGCGACUGUUUAGCAAAAACACAGGUAUCUGCGAAAGCGAGAGCUGACGUAUAGGUGCUGACGCCUGCCCGGUGCUGGAAGGUUAAGGGGAAGUGUUAGGGGAAACCCGAAGCAGAGAACCGAAGCCCCAGUAAACGGCGGCCGUAACUAUAACGGUCCUAAGGUAGCGAAAUUCCUUGUCGGGUAAGUUCCGACCCGCACGAAUGGCGUAACGACUUGUGAGCUGUCUCAACAGGAGGCCCGGUGAAAUUGAAGUAUGUGUGAAGAUGCACAUUACCCGCGACUGGACGGAAAGACCCCGUAGAGCUUUACUGUAACCUGACAUUGGAUCUUGAUAACGGAUGCACAGGAUAGGUGGGACGCUGGGAGGUAUGGACUUUGGUCUGUACGGAGCGGACGUUGGGAUACCACUCUUCUGUUAUUGAGAUUCUAACCUCAAGCCGUAAGCCGGAUGAGAGACAGUGUCAGGCGGACAGUUUGACUGGGGCGGUCGCCUCCGAAAGAGUAACGGAGGCGCCCAAAGGUACCCUCAGAAUGGAUGGAAACCAUUCGAAGAGAGCAAAGUCAGAAGGGUGCUUGACUGCGAGACCAACAAGUCGAGCAGGUACGAAAGUAGGGCUUAGUGAUCCGGCGGUAAGAGAGUGGAAUUGCCGUCGCUCAACGGAUAAAAGCUACCUCGGGGAUAACAGGCUGAUCUCCCCCAAGAGUUCACAUCGACGGGGAGGUUUGGCACCUCGAUGUCGGCUCAUCGCAUCCUGGAGCUGAAGUCGGUUCCAAGGGUUGGGCUGUUCGCCCAUUAAAGCGGUACGCGAGCUGGGUUCAGAACGUCGUGAGACAGUUCGGUCCCUAUCUGUCGUGGGCGUAGGAAGUUUGAGAAGAUCUGUCCUCAGUACGAGAGGACCGGGAUGGACAUAUCAAUGGUGCACCAGUUGUCACGCCAGUGGCACAGCUGGGUAGCUAAAUAUGGAAGGGAUAAACGCUGAAGGCAUCUAAGUGUGAAACCCACUUCAAGAUGAGACUUCCCAUUACGCAAGUAGGUAAGACCCCUUAAAGACGAUAAGGUUGAUAGGUCAGGAGUGUAAGCAUGGUGACAUGUUCAGCGGACUGAUACUAAUAGGUCGAGGACUUAACCUA